rnacentral:rRNA from 1 species
GUAGGGAAUAUUGGGCAAUGGUCGGAAGACUGACCCAGCCAUGCCGCGUGCAGGAAGACGGCCCUCUGGGUUGUAAACUGCUUUUAUCUGGGAAGAAAAAGGCCAUGCGUGGCAAAUUGCCGGUACCAGAUGAAUAAGCACCGGCUAACUCCGUGCCAGCAGCCGCGGUAAUACGGAGGGUGCGAGCGUUGUCCGGAUUUAUUGGGUUUAAAGGGUGCGUAGGCGGCUGAGUAAGUCAGCGGUGAAAGACUUCGGCUUAACCGGAGCAGUGCCGUUGAUACUGGUUGGCUUGAGUGUCGGAGGGGUACAUGGAAUUGAUGGUGUAGCGGUGAAAUGCAUAGAUACCAUCAGGAACACCGAUAGCGAAGGCAUUGUACUGGCCGACAACUGACGCUGAUGCACGAAAGUGUGGGGAUCGAACAGGAUUAGAUACCCGAGUAGUCC